UACGUAGGGUGCAAGCGUUGUCCGGAAUUAUUGGGCGUAAAGAGCUCGUAGGCGGUCUGUCGCGUCGGCUGUGAAAUCCCGAGGCUCAACCUCGGGUCUGCAGUCGAUACGGGCAAACUAGAGUAUUGCAGGGGAGACUGGAAUUCCUGGUGUAGCGGUGGAAUGCGCAGAUAUCAGGAGGAACACCCAUAGCGAAGGCAGCUUGCUGGGACGUUACUGACGCUAAGGCGCGAAAGCGUGGGGAGCGAACAGG
rnacentral:rRNA from 1 species